rnacentral:tRNA from 1 species
GCCCUGGUGGUGGAAUUGGUAGACACGCUGUCUUGAGGGGGCAGUGGGGUUUCCCCGUGCUGGUUCGACUCCAGUCCAGGGCACCA